GAGAAACACACACGGGCGGGCGGAGGGGACCCGGGGCGAGUCAUCAAGGGCGCGUGGUUCGGCGUGCCAGGCGCGCUGCUCUGCCUGCUCUCUUGGCUUCUGUCUCCCUUCGACCGAUCGCCCCCUAUCCUGAAGCUUUCCAAUGUCAUCUUGGAGCCCCAAAGUUUCCUGGGGCCUCCGCGUUGUGCGUCCCAGAACCCCUUGCCUGCCCCUGAGGGAAACGCGGAGCCAUAGGCAGCGGGACGUCGGGAGCCAGCCCAGGGGAGGCCAGAUUCAGCAUUUGGACAGCGGCUCUGGGGCGCAGUCGGCCCAGCGAGUUUGCCGGUGAACAGCCUCGGGCACAUGGCGGGUAGGAGGGCCGCAGGGCUGCUCUGGGUCUUGAAGAAGCAGGACCCAGCCUAGAGGGCAUCCCCAGCUCCGAAUGGGACACGUUUUCCCGAGAUAAAAGAUCCCUUCUGAGCUCACACGGGAGCCCCGGGACCAUCCAAUCCAGCGUGGAUAUCCCCAGCCUAACCAACACCUGUGCUGGGGGGAAAGAUAAGACGCCCCCUUUCAGCCAGGAGGUGGACGACCCUCAUGCCCUCAGCUCUCCAUUCUUCCCAAAGCAGCUCGGAUCCCUAAGUCUGGAGCUGCCAGCGAGGCUUCCAACCCGCUGCUUGCCAUCACCUCCCAGGUCGUUGGUGGCUCCGAUUACUCCCCUGCUGGUGCCUCCCUCCUUGGCGCGCUUCCCACCUGCGAUCGGCGCCCUCUUCGCAGUCACGAACUCGCCAGCAGCUAGCAGCACUGACUAGUAGGAGGGCCCGCCGGAGGAGAGGACAUGCUCUGGAGUCAGAAGACAGCGAAAAGAGAAGCAGAAGCCCCGGUGGCAAGAGUCUGAAGCAGGAAGGAUGACUGUAGCCUGUGGAUUGUACUGCAGUAGGAAACUGUCCUAGCAAGGCUCCACUUUGCCCCAGCUUCAAGCUGGAAAGGAGGAGAACAUGAAACAUUGCUUGAAGACAAUGGCCGAGACAGCAGGUCCCACCCUGCACAGCCACCAGCAUCUCUCCCCUCAGCCCUGUCUCCUCUUCUGCAGUUGGGAUCUGCACAUUUAAGCCUGAAAUUGUCCUGUGAAGUGAAGUAUGAUCGGACAGCCUCUUUUCAGCUUUUAUGACAAUGGAGACAGAGGAAUUGUGGCUCUUGCCAAGGUCACAGGAUUGGAAUACAGAGCCAAGCCACCCCAGGACAUGCAAGAGCCUCAGAAGGGAAAAAAGCCCAGCAGGAAGGGAGAACAAGUAGCCUCUGUCCUGAAGUUGUAACAGCCAGGGGCCAGGAUGGAGGAGGAGGACCCCAUAAUCUGCCCAUCUGGGACUUGGCAGGGGACCUGGGAAAAUGUACCCCAACCCAUCCCUUAAGGGCCUUUGUCUUUGGCCCAUUGGCCUAGCAUCUACUUCUUCACCGUGUCUGUUCUUGUCACACCUAGUCAGGUCUGUUUGGGUCUGAGGUGCAUGGAACAUUCUGGGUAGGCCUCCAGCAAACGGAAGCUCUUCACCGUGUUUCCAGCCUGGGACCAAGGGCAGCAUACUGGCAAAGUUGCCAAAGCAAGGGACUCCAGCCUCUUAGGAGUUAAUGACUCCCUCUCCCCAGCUGUCCUCCCCUUGGUGCUCCUCUUCCUCCCUCCUCCUGCUCACAGCAGGCAGGGCCUAGACCCGGGAGCCAUGCUGCUGUGCUGUUGCCAGGGGAGCACGGAGGCAGAUCUGAGCUAUGCAGGGAAAAGGCCCAGCCUGUCAAAGUGUCUGAGAUGAACCGCCGCCGUCCCUGUGCAGCUGGGCUCAGACGUGUCUCAGCUCUUGUUCUGUGCCUGAGAAUGGCGAAACCCAGUGAGGUUCAAGGGCAAACUCGCUAUUCAUUAGUCAGGGGUUCUUGACGUCCCGUCUCUCCCAGGGAUGAGUUCCCCCCUCCUCUUUCUCCCCCUCCUAUGACACAUUCCUGGGUGCCUUUGGUGAGGACUGCACACCCUCCUCCUGCCUAGCCCCCUCUCCAAAGGCCCCUGAAUAAACUCCCCCCAAGGAGACCAGGCAGGGCAGAGACAAUGGCUGCAGGAAAUCAUUCAGGCGGGACAUGCUGGCCUGCCCUCCACCCAGUCCCCCUGUGGGCCCCACUCCCUUCUGAUUCAGGGCACCCUUGGGCCCCCAGCCUAUACAGGCCUGGACAGGAAGAAACCACUGGGAACCACCCUAAGGACAACAUGCUAGUCCAGUGCCAUUCUUCGCUGGCUCUGUGGGUGCCUUUGUGGCCUGUACCGACUGGCUGGCUAAUUUUGUGGUUUCUGUACCAUCACAUGCCUAUUUUAAGACACUCUCCAGCACUGUCGGUUAGGGAGUGUAAAUUUUGCAAUAUUUUCUGAAAUGUGGCAAUAUCAAAAUGUAAAAGGCACACAUACUUGGUCACAAACAAAUGGCACUAUUUACUCUGUGGGCAUAUUUGUAAAAGUUGCCAAAGAAUUAUAUACAAGGAUGUUCAUCAGAGCAUUUCUUUUGAAGAGUAAAGAAAUGGACAUGAACCUGUGGUCCGUUCAUACGGUGGAAUACCUAUGCAGCUGUAAAAAUCAGUGUGGUAGAUCUCCGUAUAUGAGUUGAUGUGGAAGGUUGGCCAGUUCACAUGAUAAGGUGAAUAGAAUAAGUUACAGAACAGGCUGUAGAGUAUGAUCUUAUUUGUAGAUGUUUAAAACUGAGUCAUAAGUAUGCUUAUAUACAGAUCGUUUCUGGAAGUAUGUACUGGAAGUCUACCUCUGGGGAGUGGGGAUGGGGGAGUGCACUCUUCUAUACUGUUAUAUUUUCUUUUCAUGCUCCUAAGGUACUUUUAUUGGAAGAUGUAAAGCGGUUCAAUGUAAUAGGCUUAACUUCUGUCAACUAAGUUGGCGUGGGUGCUUUAAGAGGGUGGUAGUGAUGUUGCUGGAGAAAGUAUCCCACAGUCACUGGUGGCUUCAGCCACGGGCCAUUUUGGGGCCUAAUAAUCACAUAUCAUCAUGGUUGCUAGUGUUAAUCGAAAACCUACUAAGUGCCAGGCUUACUGUCUCUGGGUCUUGCUUACGUGGAUGUCAUUUUUCCAGUUGCACCAAAUCGAAAGAGGUUAAUUGGUUUGUUGGAGUUCCUUUGUAGGUGAAGGGCAGAGCCAGGAGCUUGGCUAGGGACAGGGGAGGUGAGUGGGGGAUGGUGGAUAGGUCUUGGCUCCCAGUUUCCUUCUGGGCAGACAUUGCCCCUCUGCCCUGAGGACCUGCUUGUUUGGGGGAAGAGGCCUUUAGAGGCACCAGGGUCAUGCCAGGUGUUGGACAUGGUGAACUGGGAAGUGCUCCCAUCUGGCCACAGCGCAGAAGUAUCACCGUGCUGGGGGAUGGGGAACAGGGCUGUGAAUGGGCCUAUUUGCAUAAGCAGCAUGUGUCUGGAGAGAAAGACAUCACAGAGCAGAAGAGUGCGGGUGCCCAGGAGUGCACUUGCCACCCCUACUUCAUCCCUGAAAGAGUAAAUGGCCUGGAAGGUGUCUCUGAGAGGUAAUGCCGCACACCACCCUCCCUGGGGGCAGGGUCAGGCUACACCUGCCUUAGGUCGGGGGCUGCAGCAGCCUGAGAGCUCUCAGUAGGGCCUCAGUAGCCUGGGAGGGAGCAGGGGCAGGGGGCAGGGAAAGAGGCGUAAUGGGGCUGUCCAGAGGGGCCUGGGAAACCUGGUCCCUGAGGCCUGGGCACAGCUACAAUCACUUCAAAUUGGCUGUGGGGCCAGUGGACUGGGAAGGAAAAAAGCAAUAAGAGUGACCAAGUGCAGAAGGCUGUCAGGUCCCAGGUCACAUGCCUUAGUGCAGUGACUCCUCAUCAUUUUAUGGGGUGUGGGUGUCGUUGGUACACCCAUUUUACAGAUGAGGACACCGAGGCCCAGAAAAGUUAAGUUACAUGUCCUAAGUCACACAGCUUGUAAGUGCCAGAACUGAGAUCAAAACCAAGUCUCUUUGACUUUAAAGUCUGUACUCUGACCCCAAAGAGAUCCUGUUUGGCCACUUAUAGGAGGUCCCUAAAGCUGCAGACUCCCCUUGCCGGCACCCACAUAUAGAGACAUUAACCCUUCCCCUGCAGGGUCACCUCAAAUAGUCUUUUAGCUGGGCUUCUCCUGCAAUUCCACCUAAUGCCAUCCCCUGGGUUUUGCCCAAACCUGAACUGGGCAGUGGGGUGAGAGGAGGGGUUUACAGGGUUACAGAGCCUCAUACAGAUAGGAGCCCAUGGCUGCUGGUCAUCUGCAUUCCUGCAGGAUUGGCUGUUCCUUGGGGUCCUUGGCAGGAAAAUGAGGAUUGCUCCGAGGCCUGCUCCAGUACUUCCCAGAGGCUGGCCUGGUGUGGGGCUCUGGGAAGGCUGAGGCUGGAGAAGCGUAAGUAGGAGGGCAGAGAUGGCACUCAGGUAGCUUGAAUCACCAGGACCCUUCCAAGCCCCACAGGUUCUGAGGGAGUACUAGGGCCAGCUCUGGGAGAGGUCUCUUCCUAUGCUGUGAACCCCCUGCCUUUCUUGCAGCCUACAACGAAUAAAUUUUCUUUGCA
rnacentral:lncRNA from 1 species